CCCUUAGAUGUUCUGGGCCGCACGCGCGCUACACUGAUGCAUUCAACGAGUUUCUUCCUGGUCCGAGAGGAAUGGGUAACCUUUUGAAAGUGCAUCGUGAUAGGGAUAGACUAUUGCAAUUAUUGGUCUUCAACGAGGAAUUCCUAGUAGACGUAGUUCAUCAGACUGCAUCGAUUACGUCCCUGCCCUUUGUACACACCGCCCGUCGCUCCUACCGAUUGAAUGGUCCGGUGAAGCGUUCGGACCGUGGCCUUUGGACGGUUCGCCGUCUGUUGGCUGCGGGAAGUUCGUUAAACCUUAUCAUUUAGAGGAAGGAGAAGUCGUAACA
rnacentral:rRNA from 1 species